GACAGAGGAGCCAAGCGUUGUCCGGACUGACUGGGCGUAAAGCGCCCGCAGGCGGCCGUGCACGUGGGGUGUGAAAGCGCUCGGCUUAACUGAGCGAGGCCAUCCCAUACGGCGCGGCUCGAGCCGUCCAGAGGCCGGUGGAAUUGCCGGUGUAGUGGUGAAAUGCGUAGAGAUCGGGAAGAACGCCGGCGGCGAAAGCGACUCUCUGGUCGGAUCCUGACGCUGAGGUGCGAAAGCUAGGGGAGCGAACGGG
rnacentral:rRNA from 1 species